AAUUCUACAAAAGGAGGGGUGUGCCUAACAUAAAAGGGGGUGACAUUAGUGUUUACUCUUUCAUAGGCACCUAGCAUAUUUUACAUGUGUUUUAAUAAAGCUUUCUAGAAGCCACACAUUUAGCACAUUGGUAGUAUUAGCAUCUCAGAUCUGAAACGUGUAAAAUGCCUUGAGAUUGAUCUAUAAAAUCUCAUAGGCAAAGCUUGUAGCUCACUUUUGGAAAUAUUGAAAAGAAAUUCUACUCAUGAAAGCACAAUUCUCUCAACCGAAAGUCAUUCUCCUUGCUUGUACUCCAUUGCUACUUUCUUCCAUUAUGGAGGCCUUCUGAAGUAGUUAACCACUCAUUCAAGCUUGCCUUCACCUCACCUUACCAUAAUCACCAUCAUUCCGCUGCAACCAUUCCUUGAAUCUCACCAAAACCGAGAGUUACU
rnacentral:lncRNA from 1 species